GCGGAUGUGGCGAAAUUGGUAGACGCACUGGAUUUAGGUUCCAGCGCCGCAAGGUGUGAGAGUUCGAGUCUCUCCAUCCGCA
rnacentral:tRNA from 1 species